AAUCAACGCUGGCGGCGUGCCUAACACAUGCAAGUCGAACGGUAACAGGGUGCUUGCACCGCUGACGAGUGGCGAACGGGUGAGUAAUGCGUCGGAACGUGCCGAGUAGUGGGGGAUAACGCAGCGAAAGUUGUGCUAAUACCGCAUACGUACUGAGGUAGAAAGUGGGGGACCUUCGGGCCUCACGCUAUUCGAGCGGCCGACGUCUGAUUAGCUAGUAGGUGAGGUAAAGGCUCACCUAGGCGACGAUCAGUAGCGGGUCUGAGAGGAUGAUCCGCCACACUGGGACUGAGACACGGCCCAGACUCCUACGGGAGGCAGCAGUGGGGAAUUUUGGACAAUGGGCGAAAGCCUGAUCCAGCCAUGCCGCGUGUCUGAAGAAGGCCUUCGGGUUGUAAAGGACUUUUGUCAGGGAGGAAAUCCCUAGUGCUAAUAACACUGGGGGAUGACAGUACCUGAAGAAUAAGCACCGGCUAACUACGUGCCAGCAGCCGCCGUAA
rnacentral:rRNA from 1 species